rnacentral:rRNA from 1 species
CACGUAGGCACCAAGCGUUGUCCGGAUUUAUUGGGCGUAAAGAGCUCGUAGGCGGUUGAGUAAGUCGGGUGUGAAAACUCUGGGCUUAACCCAGAGCCGCCACCCGAUACUGCUCUGACUUGAGUUCGGUAGGGGAGCAGGGAAUUCCUAGUGUAGCGGUGAAAUGCGCAGAUAUUAGGAGGAACACCGAUGGCGAAGGCAGGUCUCUGGGCUGACACUGACGCUCAUGCACGAAAGCGUGGGGAGCAAACAGG